UCCAGUUCCUCAUCCGAUUCACCGUUACAUGCCGCAAUAGUCGAACUAUCAACUGGAUCGGACCGAGUUAUCCAGGCGUGUUAGUCGGAUAGAAGACUAUUCAGCACUGCUUAGCUUAGUCCAACAGACACACGCCUAAAGCCCCCGUGAGGUUGAGAAAUCUGCUGAAGAACACAACAUCAGAGACGACUUAAUGUCUCUCUGAGGGAACAAAGUCAGGUCUCCUGAUUGACAGGUCGCUUGUCAGAUGUUCCACAAAUUACUUUUGGAAGGUGUUACUGAGAAUAUUGGAUGAAAAGUCAAUUUGUUCAAGGUCUUUAGGGUUAAUAAACCUUGCAUAGCUUUGUAAGGUCCAUGAGCUGUACUGUAAACGGGUCUUUCUUCUCCCGUAUAGUGGUUUAUGUCCUCUGGAUGAACCGUAGCACGGCAUCUCCACCAAUCAUUACCACCAGCCGAGAUCCUCAUCACCAAUAGGUCCAGUAUACAGUAUAGGUCCGUCUUCCAAUUGGAUGUGGUUUUCCAUGACUGUGUAUGAAGCAGUUGUUGGCUGAUGUUGACUCCCUGACCAUUGACGAGUCACGAGACUUGGUCUCACACAGCACUAAAGCAGAGGUAGCAGAGGCAGAUCCUGUGUGAGGGCCCCUGCCCCCGUGAGAACCUUUGCACUUUAUAGCACCGCGGCCCUAAAGGUUUGUGAGUGUUUCUCACGCGCUCGCCGAGUGAGCGCUGGAAUCACACGCAGAGGAACAGUUUGUUGCCCCGCUGACUCCCGGACCUCAGUAGGCCACAGCAGGGACGUGUGGCGUUACCACAAACCAGGUCCCUUUACGUUUUCUACCAACCCUUUCUAAAAUGGCCCAAAAGCCUAAAUAGCUCGGAAAAGUUCAAAUACUGUCAAAUAGAAAAGAAAAGCCCCAGUUCAACAUGUGUUGGGGGGGGGGGGGGGCAGGAAAGAAAUGAGCACGUACAUCAGGCUGCUGGUGUGUGUGUGUGUGUGUGUGUGUGUGUGUGUGUGUGUGUGUGUGUGUGAGGCCUGUGGGAAAGGAUUAGACUUUCACGCCUUUCCUACACACUGAAGCCCCAUCAAAGACAUUCCUUGCAUAACAAAUCAAUGAGUACCAUCACGCACACACACAAACACACAAUCCUGGUAAUCAUUAGCCAAACAAUCAUGAUUCACUUUCUUCUUCUUCCCUUUAAUGUGGGAAGGAGGAAAUUAGCACGUUGAAACAUUAGCAUUUGCAGCUGUAUACAGUAUAUGAUAUAAAAACUACAAAUGAAUCAUCCUCCUGUGGUAACUUUGUGUGGAUACGUCACACUCCUCCCUGCUCUCAUUUGGAGUGUAAAGGUGCUUUAAAGUAACUUUCCCAAUAUCCUCCCUACAGCGGCAACUCGUGGAGCUUUGUCCAACGCAUGUUCAUCCCAUUUAAUGCUGUAAAGCAAACAGAAGCACCCUCCAGUUACAUAAUGACAAUAAAGGAUCCUGGUAACCUGGAGAGGAGCGGAGCCUCUGAGGGGCUUCCUGGUUCUCAAUAGAAGAGCUGCUGCCCUUCACUUCCUGCUCGUGCUUCACUUCCUGCGCUGACGCAGUCACAUCCGGCUGGUAGCAGAGCGACACCGCUGCAUCGGUACACCCAGUGGACUUCAUGCUGCUCCGCCCAUCCAAAUCUACAGUAAGGAAUUCCGGUCUGAACGCAAUCGGUGUUGCGAACGGGCAAGAAAAGAGGAAGAAGAUGAGCGUGCAGCUGUUGAGCCGACGCGGCACUUUCUUUCUUGUCAUUUGCAGAAGUGGCGUUCCCUUUCUCAGAGGGGAACCAUUCCAGGUUCGUCUUCCAGAAGAAGCCCCGGGGCGAUCGGUGGAGCCUUGCGUCCAGAUGUUUCUCCCUCUCAUCGGUCAGGUGCAGCCACAAUACGUGGGCUUCUUUCUGUUCCUGCUGCAGCUUCUCACUUCUACAUCCCGACCAGAAGUUUCCUCCUCAGUCGGUCAGCCGCUUGUCGAUCCUUCAGAGCGCCGUAUUCUCUGCUGAUAUUGUGGAUGUCACAGCGAGGUGCUCCUAACUGUGUUAAUCCGCAGCAGGAAGUAGUCCCUCUCUUAGCAUAGCAUCACGUGUGGACAAGAACAGAGCGUUUUACACACUGAUCCAUCUAGUUCAUGUUUUUAUUGUGUAGUUGACAGAAGUUGCAGAGAACUGGCAUGAAGUCGACACUGAGUGGAAUGAUUGGUAACAACACAAGUCUAUGGCUUACCAAGCACGACACCCUACGUACAAACGCAACUCACUCAACCAUUUCUUCUUCCAUAAAUAUCAAAAGGGGAAAGGAACAGAGGCCCCCAUGGGCCUAAAGUGGGGAUAAAAGUCUCUUUACCGAGACAGCUUAGCACUCAAAAGAGUUAAACACACCCAGGUUUCUGUCAUGGCUUCCCCUCUGCAAGCAGGUUGAACAAAGAGACCGAGACGAGAGAUAGAUCUGGACUGUCACAUGAGGUAUUGUGGAUCAAAGCAUUUCUGUACAUUUUUCUCCAUAUUUUUUGGAAUAGAUCGGAAAAUCAAAUUCUGUAUGUAAUUAUACACAUACAAAAUAAAAACGGAUCACAUAGAAUCUACACAAAAACAACAAAUGAGGAUGUCAAUAGAACAAUUUUCUAUGAGAAAAUUCAAAACUAAAAUGGCAGCAUAUUGACAUUUAUAUGUAUAAAAAAACACCAAAAUGUAGCAGCAAACAGGAGAAAAGCAUCAUUUUUAAUCCAUUACGUUUUUGUCAGUUUUUCUUUUUUUUUUUAACACGUAGCUGGGAUUCAUUUUCUAUAGCAGCGGAAUA